UACGUAGGUGGCAAGCGUUGUCCGGAUUUACUGGGCGUAAAGAGCGCGCAGGCGGUCGAUUUAGUCGCGUGUGAAAGCCCCCGGCUCAACUGGGGAGGGUCACGCGAUACUGAUCGACUCGAAGGCAGGAGAGGGUAGUGGAAUUCCCGGUGUAGUGGUGAAAUGCGUAGAUAUCGGGAGGAACACCAGUGGCGAAGGCGACUACCUGGCCUGUUCUUGACGCUGAGGCGCGCAAGCUAGGGGAGCAAACGGG
rnacentral:rRNA from 1 species